CGACUYUCGGCAACGGAUAUCUCGGCUCUCGCAUCGAUGAAGAACGUAGCGAACUGCGAUACUUGGUGUGAAUUGCAGAAUCCCGUGAACCAUCGAGUCUUUGAACGCAAGUUGCGCCCGAAUCCAUUGGACGAGGGCACGUUUGCCUGGGUGUCACAC
rnacentral:rRNA from 1 species